rnacentral:rRNA from 1 species
CAGUCGCCACGGGAAUACGAAGGGUGCAAGCGUUAAUCGGAAUUACUGGGCGUAAAGCGUGCGUAGGCGGUUUGUUAAGUCUGUUGUGAAAUCCCCGGGCUCAACCUGGGAAUGGCAAUGGAUACUGGCAAGCUAGAGUGUGUCAGAGGAUGGUGGAAUUCCCGGUGUAGCGGUGAAAUGCGUAGAGAUCGGGAGGAACAUCAGUGGCGAAGGCGGCCAUCUGGGACAACACUGACGCUGAGGCACGAAAGCGUGGGGAGCAAACAGGAUUAGAUACCCGCGUAGUCCCUGUCUCUUAUAC